rnacentral:rRNA from 1 species
CGUAGAGAAAUCGAGUCUGAAUAGGGCGAUAGUCGCUGGGAGUAGACCCGAAACCGGGCGAUCUAGCCAUGUGCAGGAUGAAGGUUGGGUAACACCAACUGGAGGUCCGAACCGGGUAAUGUUGAAAAAUUAUCGGAUGACGUGUGGCUAGGAGUGAAAGGCUAAUCAAGCCCGGAGAUAGCUGGUUCUCCCCGAAAGCUAUUUAGGUAGCGCCUCGUGAAUGAUUACUGGGGGUAGAGCACUGUUUCGGCUAGGGGGCUGUCAUGGCUUACCAAACCGAUGCAAACUCCGAAUACCGGCUAAUUGGAUCACGGGAGACACACGGCGGGUGCUAACGUCCGUCGUGGAGAGGGAAACAACCCAGACCGCCAGCUAAGGUCCCCAAGUACUAGUUAAGUGGGAAACGAUGUGGGAAGGCAUAGACAGCCAGGAGGUUGGCUUAGAAGCAGCCACCCUUUAAAGAAAGCGUAAUAGCUCACUGGUCGAGUCGGCCUGCGCGGAAGAUGUAACGGGGCUAAAACUAGUCACCGAAGCUGCGGAUGUGCGCGAAGGCGCACGUGGUAGGGGAGCGUUCUGUAGGCUGAUGAAGGUGCAUUGAGAAGUGUGCUGGAGGUAUCAGAAGUGCGAAUGCUGACAUGAGUAACGAUAAUGUGGGUGAAAAGCCCACACGCCGGAAGUCCCAGGUUUCCUGCACGACGUUAAUCGGAGCAGGGUGAGUCGGCCCCUAAGGCGAGGCUGAAGAGCGUAGUCGAUGGGAACCAGGUUAAUAUUCCUGGACUUUUUAUAAGUGGUGAAGUGGGGACGAAGAAGGCUAGGUGAGCCAGGCGUUGGUUGUCCUGGUACUUGCAUGUAGGGGGGAAGACUUGGCAAAUCCGGUUUUCCAUAACUCUGAGGUGCGAAGUGGUUCUGACCUUUUGGUACAGAGAAGUCAUUGAUGCCCGGCUUCCAGGAAAAGCUGCUAGCCAUAACUUAUAGAGAACCGUACCGCAAACCGACACAGGUGGACAGGUAGAGAAUACUAAGGCGCUUGAGAGAACUCGGGUGAAGGAACUAGGCAAAAUGGUACCGUAACUUCGGGAG